AAAAUUAAUAUGGUUUUUCCAUCUUCUCAUCAAGUGCAGAGAAGAGGAAUAGAGGAAACAACUCAAAACUCAGCACUCAAUGGUAAGAACAUAUUGUCUACCUGGAAGGAAUAGAAAUUCUACAUCCUGUUGGGAAUUGGAAGUACAGGAAUAUUAGCAGACAGUACUCAAGGAGAUUCAGCAUGUGGUUGGGCUCCCACAGUCCUCUUUUUAUGUCAGUGGGAACACUCAGCACAGUAUACUCCCUACUCAGCAUGAAUGUGGUGGCCUGAUUUUUGCAAAGAAAGGGCCUAUAAGUACACAAGAACCAAGUCAUGUAGAUUUUAAAGAUAAAAGCUAGCACUUUGUAUCUCCUGUAAUCAUGUAAGGAAGGACCCACAUGGGAUGCAUUGCUUUAGUCCGAUUGAGAGUGAAGAAUGUUGACUGACUGUUGAAAAUGCCUCCUUGUCUCCAAAGACCUGCAACUGGCCUAUCAGUGAAACCUUGGAAAGGUCCUUGUGUCCAUAGUUCAACCUGCUGUACCGGCAGAAGCCUGAAUUCAAAGAAACCCCAACUCACAGGCAUGCUCCUUUAGGGCCAGUGGAACCCUAUCUAAAGUAAACAGUGGAACUGAAAUCAAGCCAGAUCUGACAAACAGGCCCCGACAGUCUCCAGACACUGAGUCAGAACUUUGAUAGCACCCAGUUUAACUUGAGAUGAAUAUAUAUACAAUUCAUUUUCAUCAUUACACUGAACUGACACACAACCUACCUAAGGGUUUCAUGUAGGUACUAGAUAGCAUGGAGAAGAGAAUUAUGGAUUUCGCAUUGAACCAAAUUGCAACAACCAUGGAUGCAGCCCUACUUGCCCCAUGCUCACAAAUUAGAACUGCCCACUCAAGAAUGACUGCAAAAGAUCCAGAAAACUGGAUUCUUCUAGGACUCUCUGAAGCUGAAGUACUACCAUCUUACGUAAUGCCUUCUAUAAAAUCAAACAUAUGCAAAUUUAACACCAACAGCAUGUUUUACAUAAUAAAAACAAAGAGGUAACUGAUUAAAAUAAAAAA